rnacentral:lncRNA from 1 species
CUUCUUAUUAAAAAAAAAUGGUGUGGGUGCCCAUUCCAUGUCCUCGCCAGAGCUUUUAUUUUAUUUUAUUUUAUUUUAAUAGGAGCUACUCGACACUAUCUCUUGAAAUUGAUUCUAACUAUUAUCAAACCCCUACCUGCUUUCCACUUUGGCGGGGAGUGAUACAAUUGGAGCAAAUAUCCAAUGGUCAUGGAAGGUUGAUAUAGUGGUUUCAUAUUGUAUUACUCUAGUUCAUGUCAUACAUCAGUUGCAUUGUUACCUUAAUGAUAUGAAAUAGAAGUUCCACCAAAAAAGGAAAAAAAAAAGAUAUGAAUUAGUAAAAUGUUUGCAAGAGAGAGGAAGGAAAGAUUAUUCACCCCA